CCCCUUGCUUGCAUCGCGGCGGCGGUGGCCUCCGUCCCCUUGCAUCUACCAGCGGCGGCGACCUCCUACCCCCUUCUUCUAUCCAUUCGUGGCGCCAGCCUCCACACCUCGCGAGGGAGACGGGAUGGAGGCAGGGACAUGGCCAGGAUCCUCCUGUACUGCUCCUCCUACCAAUGGAUUUCUUCCCCACGCAGAGGAUCUGAACUACACAGCGCCUAUGCCUUCUUCCUCAUAUCCGACCCUCCAAAUAGCCGCCCACUAUCGUUCAUUCUCUGACUCCUCUCUACCAUGUGUUUCAAAUUUUGUGCAGAUGCAGCAGGAAGGCCAACCUCUCUCUUCGGUUCAGACUUCACAGAUGUUCUACGGCUUUAGAGAUGUGCAAAUGCUAGCACUAGUGCAGAUGACCAGGAAGUUUACUACGGCUACAUGCCAAAUUCAGAUUUUAGAAGCGUUUCUCUAAAGUUCUGCUAUGUCUUUAGACCAGGUUCAACCUUCAGAACCGUUUUGUGCAGUAGACAUGGCUGGUGCGUGUGUGUUCUAGUUUGGUGUGCUGCGUGCGUGUGUGUCCAGCGUGAUGCAUCACACAUGUUCGCCAUGAUGGAUGCUGGCCAGUUCUAUCGCAACAGCUGCUAGUCUCUUCCGUUGUUCCCUUUUCCGAGCAAAACAUGCUCUCUUGUCUCUCUCUAAUUGACUUGUUGAUGCAGCAUAAAGGAAUAAUAUAUUUUGAUUGCUACUUUCCCUUGGACGUUCAUAUCGGAAGUGAAAAAGUAAUUGUAGCCAAGCUAACUAAGAGGUGUAGCUUAUGUGUCCGUCACAUGUUUAUGUCCACUUCCAUCUAUCUUUGGUUGUUUCUAUUUUGUAUUCUGCAAUUCUCUC
rnacentral:lncRNA from 1 species